CUACGCUGAGGUGUUGACAAGUUAAUUUAUUGCCGAGUUGGCGUUUCAUCGUUUUUUUCUACACAUCUUCAAUAUAUAAAUUAAGGUAUUGGCGAUGCCGUUUUCACAGUUGAAUCUUGUUCCUUCCCCCAAAGACUAAAAGCUCUCAACUGAAAAGAUGACGGGAAAAAUAUUUGCUUUUGCUUGUGUUUUCCUUCUGAUCGCUGUUUGCCAUGGAUACUCGGAAUCUAUGUCCUGUGUUUCAGUUCCCGGACAAAGUGCUCCUAUCUGCAGGAAGAGCGUCAAUCAAAAUGGGAACAGUGCCAAUGCUGGAGCAUUUGCCUACCCUAUGUAUCCAUAUGUUUAUGCCAAUACACAACCAAGAUACUAUGAAGAAGUACCACCACCAAUAAUGCAAUACUAACAUACAGGACAAGAUUUGAAAACGCCUCUGAAGUAAAAUGACCGGGACCGAAAAAAAACUGCAUCUGAUUUUUGUUGUAAUGAGUGUGGAUAAUCAAAUUUUAAUAAAAGUAUUGGCUUACUAAGCAUUAA